CGCCCCCGCGGCCGGCGCGCUCGGGGAGCGGCGUCCGGGCCGGAGUUCCAAGUGCAGCCGGAGCCCGGGCGCGGGCGCCCACAUUCCAUUCGGGUGGAAGGGCGCGGGCGGGGUGGGAGUCGCUGACCCGCCCGCUUGCCUGCCCGCAGGCAAAGGGCUUCAGGAGCUGUCACUGCCUGCGUGACUUGAGAUAAUGCUUGGGUCCCCGUUAGCCGCCAGCCACUUCUACCUCGAUUGACCAAAGUGCGGAAGAGAGGCAGAGAGUGAACUUCUUGAGGAUGACCACUCCAUGACCAGGACAGAGGAUUCCAUAACAAGUACUAAUGUGAACCAAUGAAGCCGACGCAAGCCAAAGUACCGUCGGUCCCACAGAUUCCACCUUCAGAAGGAAAUCCAAAAGGAGUCUCUGGCAUGUGUGGGAUUGCUUAGCAACUCACCCAAACAAACAUAUUUCCCUCUCAAUUUUUUUCUCAGUCCUUAUUUAUUCAAGAACAUUUUAAAAUAAAUUUUUAUCACUUGACAUCUGAAAUCAUUAGAAGAAAAUUUGGUGUUUGGGGCUUUAUAAGAACUGCCAAGCAUACUAAAAUGUUUACUUUAUUCAAUUUCUCACUUUACUGCUCUGUUAAUGCAAGGCUGGGAUUUGUGGUAUUCUUCAUGUCUGGAGUUUGGUUUGGAUAUGUCCCUGCCUCUGUGGGGGAUUACCAUGGCACCAUUGUUGGUUGGCACUGUGAUUUUGAUGAUCUAAUCUCUCCCUCUGUUUCUGACUUUGAAUAAUGAGAUUAAAUAUCAACCUUACAGAUUACUGCAGAGUUUUUGUUGAAGACAUAAUGAGGGAAUGUUAAUAAAUUCAUCAAACACAGACUAGUCAUCAGGCACCAUUUGGAAUGCUGGGGAGGCAAAGAUAUGAUUCCUGCCUUCAAGGGAAUCAGGUCUUCUCAGUCAAGGAUGCCAUUUAUACCUGACACUAAUGUAAUGUUGUAAAUUAACAAUACCUCAAUAAAAAGACAAAACAAGCAUUUAAAAUUUUUUUAC